UACAGAGGGUGCGAGCGUUAAUCGGAAUUACUGGGCGUAAAGCGUGCGUAGACGGUUAUUUAAGUCGGGUGUGAAAGCCCCGGGCUCAACCUGGGAAUUGCAUUCGAGACUGAAUAGCUAGGGUACGGUAGAGGGAAGCGGAAUUUCCGGUGUAGCGGUGAAAUGCGUAGAUAUCGGAAGGAACAUCAGUGGCGAAAGCGGCUUCCUGGACCAGUACCGAACGUCAGGCACGAAAGCGUGGGGAGCAAACAGGAUAGAUA
rnacentral:rRNA from 1 species